ACAACCUACCCUCGGGUGGGGGAUAACCUCGGGAAACUGAGGCUAAUACCCCAUAGGCCUCGGAUACUGGAAGGUUCCGAGACCGAAAGCUCCGGCGCCCGAGGAUGGGUCUGCGGCCUAUCAGGUAGUUGGUGGUGUAAAGGACCACCAAGCCUACGACGGGUACGGGCCCUGAGAGGGGGAGCCCGGAGAUGGACUCUGAGACACGAGUCCAGGCCCUACGGGGCGCAGCAGGCGCGAAACCUUCGCAAUGCGCGAAAGCGCGACGAGGGGAGCCCGAGUGCCCUUCCUUUCGGGAGGGCUUUUCUGGAGCCUAAAAAGCUCCAGGAAUA
rnacentral:rRNA from 1 species